GUGGGGAAUAUUGGACAAUGGGCGAAAGCCUGAUCCAGCCAUGCCGCGUGUGUGAAGAAGGUCUUCGGAUUGUAAAGCACUUUAAGUUGGGAGGAAGGGCAGUAAGUUAAUACCUUGCUGUUUUGACGUUACCGACAGAAUAAGCACCGGCUAACUUCGUGCCAGCAGCCGCGGUAAUACGAAGGGUGCAAGCGUUAAUCGGAAUUACUGGGCGUAAAGCGCGCGUAGGUGGUUUUGUAAGUUGGAGGUGAAAUCCCCGGGCUCAACCUGGGAACUGCCUCCAAAACUGCAUGACUAGAGGACGGUAGAGGGUAGUGGAAUUUCCUGUGUAGCGGUGAAAUGCGUAGAUAUAGGAAGGAACACCAGUGGCGAAGGCGACUACCUGGACUGAUACUGACACUGAGGUGCGAAAGCGUGGGGAGCAAACAGGAUUAGAAACCCCGGUAGUCC
rnacentral:rRNA from 1 species